rnacentral:tRNA from 1 species
AGCCCCGGAGCCUUUGAGGGCUCUUUUUCAAACUUGCAUUUUGAUGUGGAUCACUUCAAGACUU